UGGAGCUCUGAAAAGAACUUCGUGUCCCUGUUGCCUGCAUUCUAUCACUGUGUCCCCUUCUGGAUAAAUUGAUGUCAUUGGUGUAAAAAUAUCAGAGCUGAAAAUAAACCUUUCCCAGCCACGGGCGGUAGGCUUCCUGAGGACCAAUUUCCUGGCAGAGAAUGAACUGCCUCAUCUUCUAUUGAUCUGAGACACCGUGGGCGGGACAGAGCCACAAGCACGACCACGCCACUCUUGGCUCGCCCUGCCCACAGCUUUGUGCAAAUGAGGGAAGAAGCGUAAAUCUCAUCAGCUGCACAGCAGUCCUGCCUCUGAGGGGACAGCGGAGGCCUGCAGGGACAUGCUGGAUGCAGGGGGGUGCUCUGAGCUAAGUCGUGCCCCUCCAGAGUGUUGACACCCUAACUCCCAGGGGCUCAGAAUGUGACUGGAUUUGGAUAUAGGGUCUUUCAAAGAGGUGAUUAGGGUAAAAUGAGGUCAUAUGUGUGGGACCUAAUCCUGUGUGACUGUGUCCUCAUAAGAAGAGGAGAUGAGGACACAGACACGCGCAGAGGGACGACCUGUGAGGACACAGGGAGGAGACGGCCGCCUGCAAGCCGAGGAGAAAGCCCCGGAGAAACCAGCCCUGCCCACACCCUGACCUUGGACUUCAGCCUCCAGGACUGUGAGAGAGUAAACGUCUGCUGUUUAAGCCGCCCUGCCUGUGGUGUUUGUCACACACCCUGAGCCGACUGAUACAGUGGAUGCCUGGGACGUGACGACGUCAUCUGAUUGGCGCGUGGAGGAGGUCACUGGAUGUCUUGUGUGGAGCCUGGCCUGGGAUGCCAGGGUCUAAGGAGGGAGGCAGUUUGGAGGCUGUGAGUUCAUCCGCAUGGGUAGCGAUGGACCUGGGCUCACUGGUGACUGUGGAAAGAAGAAAAGGGGGUACUUCUGGGCCUGUUUUGGAAGUAGAGCCCAUCAAAGGUGGAUGCUGGCCUUCCGCUGGGCGGCGGGUGGACUGUGGUUCCUCACCAAGAUGGGCAGGUGGAGAAGGGCGGGUCUGGUGGUGCAGGGUCAUGGGUUACAGCGGACACGGCGAGUCUCGUUUGGGGCAUAUUGAGUUAGAAUCCAAGAGGAGGUGCGGGUGGCAGCCACCUGAGUUGACUGAGUCAGGAGAGGGGGGAAAGGAUGCCGUGGGGACAGUUGGUAGUGGCCCAGCAUGAAGUAGCUGAUCUCAGAACCGAGCUGCUCCCUGCAGUGAGUCCAACCCCAGGGCAGUCGUCCCGGGGCCAAUGAUCAGCAGCCAAGUUCCGGAGCAGGCCUGAGGAAGAUGAAACCCUGGCCAGCACCGGGCAGCCACACCUAUGAAGUGGACGGGUGUGCGGUAAGGGACACGGAGGGAUUCAGAAACUCCUGCUGGAGGACAGGAGAGGCAAGCUCUGGGUGAAGGUAUGCGGUCGAGAAGGGGUUAGAGGGCAGUGGGCGAUGCCAGGGGACGGACUAAUGAGGAGACCCGGGGUGACUGCGAGGGAGAAGGGCCUGGGAGGACGCGCUCAGCAGGGGUCCGACAGAACACUUCCCAAGCAGCUGAAACGGAGGGUGCCCCUAACCUCCUCCGUGAUCAACUAUUUGAGUCUAGUUUAGACCAAGGGGACUAAAAGCUAUUCUGAAAUAGUAAUUCUGGGUAGUACAAAGCACACCAAUGGCUUGUUUCCUCCAAAAACUUGGAUAUCAAACUGUCCCCUGGAUUGAUGAGGGUUCAGCAAGAAACAGAUGGCCCAUUCAGAUUGGGAUAGUCUAGGAAAGGUUUAAUGAAGGGAUGCCAAUAAAGUGAUGGUGGGUGAGAGAGACCAUAAAGGAUAGUGAGGGACCCUAGGACCAGGAACAGGGAGCAAUGUCACUCCAGGGCUGGAGGCCUGUGGGUAGGGGAGCCUACCCUGACUAUAAAAAUUGUCCAAUUGACCCACAGAAUUGUGAGAAAUAAGAAAUGUUUGUCAUUUUAAGCUUAAGUUUGGGGGUGGUUUGUUAUGCAGCAAAAGCUAGCUGAUACAACCUCAUAAGGUGGUCAUGAAGAUGAGUAAAGUAUUUAGAACAGUGUUGGGACACAGCCAGAGUUCAACAAGUGUUAGUCAUUAUUAAUAUUGGGC
ensembl:lncRNA